GGGUGCACCAGGCGCGAAACCUUUGCAAUGCGCGAAAGCGUGACAGGGUCAUCCCGAGUGCCGUCCGCUGAGGAUGGCUUUUGCCUGGUCUAACCAGCCAGGUGAAUAAGGGGAGGGCAAGUCUGGUGUCAGCCGCCGCGGUAAUACCAGCUCCUCGAGUGGUUGGGACGAUUAUUGGGUCUAAAGCGUCCGUAGCCGGCUGAAAAAGUUCUCCGUAAAAUCCAACGAUCCAAUCGUUGGAUCGCGGGGAAUACUUUCCGGCUUGGGGGCGGGGGAGGUCGGCGGUAGUCCCGGGGUAGGGGCGAAAUCUUAUAAUCCCGGGAGGACCACCAGUGGCGAAGGCGGCCGACUAAAACGCGCCCGACGGUGAGGGACGAAAGCUGGGGGAGCGAACGGGAUUAGAUACCCCGGUAGUCCCAGCUGUAAACGAUGCAGGCUAGGUGUUAGGACGGGUACGGCCCGUCCUAGUGCCGCAGGGAAGCCAUUAAGCCUGCCACCUGGGGAGUACGGCCGCAAGGCUGAAUUCUAAAAAUCGUGUCGAUGAGACAG
rnacentral:rRNA from 1 species